rnacentral:rRNA from 1 species
UGAACGCUGGCGGCAGGCCUAACACAUGCAAGUCGAGCGGUAACACAGAGAGCUUGCUCUCGGGUGACGAGCGGCGGACGGGUGAGUAAUGUCUGGGAAACUGCCUGAUGGAGGGGGAUAACUACUGGAAACGGUAGCUAAUACCGCAUAACGUCGCAAGACCAAAGUGGGGGACCUUCGGGCCUCAUGCCAUCAGAUGUGCCCAGAUGGGAUUAGCUAGUAGGUGGGGUAAUGGCUCACCUAGGCGACGAUCCCUAGCUGGUCUGAGAGGAUGACCAGCCACACUGGAACUGAGACACGGUCCAGACUCCUACGGGAGGCAGCAGUGGGGAAUAUUGCACAAUGGGCGCAAGCCUGAUGCAGCCAUGCCGCGUGUAUGAAGAAGGCCUUCGGGUUGUAAAGUACUUUCAGCGAGGAGGAAGGCGUUAAGGUUAAUAACCUUGGCGAUUGACGUUACUCGCAGAAGAAGCACCGGCUAACUCCGUGCCAGCAGCCGCGGUAAUACGGAGGGUGCAAGCGUUAAUCGGAAUUACUGGGCGUAAAGCGCACGCAGGCGGUCUGUCAAGUCGGAUGUGAAAUCCCCGGGCUCAACCUGGGAACUGCAUUCGAAACUGGCAGGCUAGAGUCUUGUAGAGGGGGGUAGAAUUCCAGGUGUAGCGGUGAAAUGCGUAGAGAUCUGGAGGAAUACCGGUGGCGAAGGCGGCCCCCUGGACAAAGACUGACGCUCAGGUGCGAAAGCGUGGGGAGCAAACAGGAUUAGAUACCCUGGUAGUCCACGCCGUAAACGAUGUCGACUUGGAGGUUGUGCCCUUGAGGCGUGGCUUCCGGAGCUAACGCGUUAAGUCGACCGCCUGGGGAGUACGGCCGCAAGGUUAAAACUCAAAUGAAUUGACGGGGGCCCGCACAAGCGGUGGAGCAUGUGGUUUAAUUCGAUGCAACGCGAAGAACCUUACCUGGUCUUGACAUCCACAGAACUUUCCAGAGAUGGAUUGGUGCCUUCGGGAACUGUGAGACAGGUGCUGCAUGGCUGUCGUCAGCUCGUGUUGUGAAAUGUUGGGUUAAGUCCCGCAACGAGCGCAACCCUUAUCCUUUGUUGCCAGCGGUUAGGCCGGGAACUCAAAGGAGACUGCCAGUGAUAAACUGGAGGAAGGUGGGGAUGACGUCAAGUCAUCAUGGCCCUUACGACCAGGGCUACACACGUGCUACAAUGGCAUAUACAAAGAGAAGCGACCUCGCGAGAGCAAGCGGACCUCAUAAAGUAUGUCGUAGUCCGGAUUGGAGUCUGCAACUCGACUCCAUGAAGUCGGAAUCGCUAGUAAUCGUAGAUCAGAAUGCUACGGUGAAUACGUUCCCGGGCCUUGUACACACCGCCCGUCACACCAUGGGAGUGGGUUGCAAAAGAAGUAGGUAGCUUAACCUUCGGGAGGGCGCUUACCACUUUGUGAUUCAUGACUGGGGUGAAGUCG